rnacentral:misc_RNA from 1 species
UUUCCGUAGGUGAACCUGCGGAAGGAUCAUUAACGAGUUAGGGUCUUUUAGGCCCGACCUCCCAACCCUAUGUUUAUUGAACCUCUGUUGCUUCGGCGGACCCGUCUCACGGCCGCCGGAGGACCGCUGCGAGGCGUCCUCUGGCCAGCGUCCGCCGAUGGCCAACCCACUAAACUCUGAAUGAAUCGUGUCAUAUGUCUAAGUCUAUGAUUAAAUUAAAGUAAAACUUUCAACAACGGAUCUCUUGGUUCUG